rnacentral:lncRNA from 10 species
CAUAGAGACUAUCUACAGGCUCUUAGCGUUGAAAUCUCCUUUCCUAAGUGAAAGAACUGAGACCAGCUCCAAUGUAGAGGAUGUAGUCUUAAUAUUGUCUUGUGGUUGAUGUUGUUGAAGAGUCUGUGGGCCCAUGUCACAAACAUUCAGACCCUAUCACACAUAUUAACAGCUGGUAAAUGGCUGGAAUGAAGGGUACAUUUGCGGGAUUGAAGCUGGGUCCACAUGGAAUACAGUCUCAUCCCAGUGAGGACUGGUCUGGGACCGGAAGUAUGUCAGCCAUACAGAAGGAGAUCCACAGAAUCUGGACAACAAGGGAAGAGAAAGAUGAACAGGGUGAAAGUAGAGACCUUUUUUCUCAUCUACACUUCCUAACGGCUUCGGAAGACUAGAAGUGAAAAUAAGAAGCAUAACAAAUUCCAUUUGUAGUUUGUUAAAUCACUUUGCUUGAUCAACUGAUUGUUGAUCAACUGUUUCAUUCCAUAGCGUGGAUCCAGUCUUUGUUGUUACUGUUUUCAACAAAGUGCUGCUUUAUUAAGUCCUCCAGAAACGGUUAGAAAUAGACAUUUAGAGUGGGAGAAACUAAUAGGCUAUAUAAGGUGAGAUUCCUGGGCCUUAAAUGGAGGAAAAUAGGCAGUAAAGAAAACCCCCUUUACAGAAUGUUGUUUUCAUAAAGCUGUUUCUAUUUGAAGAUUUCAGUGCCAUGUAGGCCUUCAAAGGUGUUAGCCAGAGAACAAGGGCCUGAGGGAUGAAAUUGUGAGAUCACAGGGAAUUGUGCAACCUCUGUUUACUUACUUGUUAUGAUCCUGUGCUUUUUCAUUUGUAAAGCAGAAAUAUUUGCCUACUAGGAGUUUUAUAAAAGAAUACAUAUAUGAUGUAAGUAAAGGAUUUAGCCUCAUACUUGAAGCAUACUAGGUGCUCUAUAUGUGGUAAUUAGUAUUAUUAUAUCUGCAUUUAUAAUAAACACUUGGCCUGGCCUGACCCCUUACUCAACUUCCAUUUUCUUUUCUUUUCUUUUCUUUUUCCCUUCUCCUUCCCCUUCCCCUUCCCC